rnacentral:pre_miRNA from 15 species
GGUACUUAACGCGAGGUUGCCUUGGUAUAUUCGGUUUAUUGACGUGGAAUAUACAAGGGCAAGCUCUCUGUGAGUAUC